UACGUAGGGGGGCAAGCGUUGUCCGGAUUUAUUGGGCGUAAAGAGCGUGUAGGCGGCUUGGUAGGUCCGCUGUGAAAAACUCGAGGCUCAACCUCGAGAUGUCGGCGGAAACCACUUGGCUAGAGUCCGGAAGAGGAGAGUGGAAUUCCUGGUGUAGCGGUGAAAUGCGCAGAUAUCAGGAGGAACACCAAUAGCGAAGGCAGCUCGCUGGGACGUUACUGACACUGAGGCGCGAAAGCGUGGGGAGCGAACAGG
rnacentral:rRNA from 1 species